AAAAAAACAAACCUUAAAUUUUCGUGUCCAAUAUUUGUUUGUCCAUCUUAUGUAAAAUUUUUUUAUAAUUAAUACUUUCAUUGUUGUUAGAUGAUAAAAUAUGAUUAAUACUUUAUACGUGAUUUGUCUUUUUAAUUUUUUUUUUAUAAUUUUUUUAAAUAAGACAGACGGUUAAACGUUGAACAUGAAUUCAGGGUU
rnacentral:pre_miRNA from 1 species